rnacentral:rRNA from 1 species
AUUGAACGCUGGCGGAAUGCUUUACACAUGCAAGUCGAACGGCAGCACGGACUUCGGUCUGGUGGCGAGUGGCGAACGGGUGAGUAAUGUAUCGGAACGUAUCCAAUAAUGGGGGAUAACGAGUCGAAAGAUUCGCUAAUACCGCAUACGCCCUACGGGGGAAAGCUGGGGACCUUCGGGCCUGGCGUUAAUGGAGCGGCCGAUAUCUGAUUAGCUAGUUGGUGAGGUAAAGGCUCACCAAGGCGACGAUCAGUAGCUGGUCUGAGAGGACGACCAGCCACACUGGGACUGAGACACGGUCCAGACUCCUACGGGAGGCAGCAGUGGGGAAUUUUGGACAAUGGACGCAAGUCUGAUCCAGCCAUUCCGCGUGCAAGAUGAAGGCCCUCGGGUUGUAAACUGCUUUUGUACGGAACGAAAAGGUCUCUCUUAAUACGGGGGGCUCAUGACGGUACCGUAAGAAUAAGCACCGGCUAACUACGUGCCAGCCGCCGCCGUAA